rnacentral:rRNA from 1 species
UACGAAGGGGGCUAGCGUUGCUCGGAAUCACUGGGCGUAAAGGGUGCGUAGGCGGGUCUUAAGUCAGGGGUGAAAUCCUGGAGCUCAACUCCAGAACUGCCUUUGAUACUGAAGAUCUUGAGUUCGGGAGAGGUGAGUGGAACUGCGAGUGUAGAGGUGAAAUUCGUAGAUAUUCGCAAGAACACCAGUGGCGAAGGCGGCUCACUGGCCCGAGUACUGACGCUGAGGCACGAAAGCGUGGGGAGCAAACAGGG